ensembl:lncRNA
CUCUGCCGCCUUCCGCCCGGAAAUUCCGGCCCUUGCGGCUCUCCGAAGCUCCUCUGAGGCGAUGGGCUUGCUUUCUGGGUCCCAGAAGCUUGGUUAGGAGUUGGCACAGGCGCCCCGGCCUCGGCUGACCCCGGCCCCGGCUGACCCCGGCCCCGGCUGACCCCGGCCCCUGAGACGUGGGUGGAUUGCUGGCAGGGAUCCGACGUGCAGUCUCUGCCCACCUUCGUUGUUCCCAGAAUCUGAGCUCUCAAAGAUGGCAGCCACCCCCCCUGGAGUGGAAUCAACUUGGAGUACGUCUCAAGGGCAUAGAAAUCAAGUAGGAAGUAUAGGGAUACCAUUCUUUCUCUUGGAUUUCUUCUGGGGAACUCAGUGUCAAAUAUGCAUGGUGUGCCUACCCCCUAGAGCCAAAGUAGAAUACAGAGGGAAGUAUUGAUUGUGAUGCUAUUUCACAACUAGACUCAUACUGCAAGAAAGAGAAAAUGGUCAAAAUUGCCUUAUGUUCAGACUUUCUUUGCACUGAGAAUUAAUCCUUGCUUGUGUGCAAAAUGUAAACGUAAGCCACAAGAAAACCAGAUACGUAGCCUUUAAGGCAUUCAGUACCACUGAGCCUGAGGCCAUUCUUCUUCACCCUUUAGAACCUGAGGAAGCAGUUUCCAAGAUAAUUUUAACAGCCUUGACUACUGUUACUAAGUCUCCUCCGUCCCACCAGCAUCAGCGCCACAAACCUGGAACCUCCGUCCCUGCCGCUGCAGCUUGCCCCCAGAGCUCGCUGCCGAGUGCGGGCCACACAGUAUCUGAAUCUAUCCUGCAGAAGCACCAAGGGGCCAUAAAGGCCAUGGUUAUGAGCUCCAGAAGAUAGAGCAGAAAUGAACAACAGAGAGAGGGGUUCUCUGGGGCUCUUCAAUGAAAAUUGAAGCCCACUGGGAAAGUGAAGAAAACCUCUGCAAUAAAGGCACACUGGACCACUGUGAUUGGUAAGUUGGUGGGAUCAGCACCUCCCAUAGAAACCCGGGCUCACUUUGGAGGAAGGACAGCUGGAUCCUGCAGUAGAACCUUGCAGAGUUUAGUCCUGCAAGAGGUCAGGGACCCUGUUUUGGAUUGUUUUUUUCUCUCCUCCCUUCUCUUGACUGUCACUUCUUAUCAGAAGGUGAAUACAGUUUCUAGCUUCCCUGUGGCUCUUAGCUUGUUCUGUUCUUGCUCUUUUUUUUUUUUUUUGGGUACUAGGGAUUGAACUCAG